GGGACGCCAUUCCGCCAUUCCGGCUCGGGCGCGGCGGAGGUGUACUACGCGCCAGCAUUUCAGCAAUCAUGUCUUACGGGAGAGGAAACAACGAGUGUCGCAUCUACGUGGGGAACCUGCCCCCCGACAUCAGGACCAAGGACAUCGAGGAUCUGUUCUACAAAUUCGGCAAGAUCGUGUUCAUCGACCUGAAGAACCGCCGAGGGCCCCCGUUCGCCUUCGUCGAAUUCGAGGAUUCCAGGGAUGCCGAAGAUGCAGUACACUCUCGUGAUGGGUAUGACUAUGAUGGCUACCGUCUCCGAGUGGAAUUUCCAAGGAACAGUGUGCCAGGAGCAGCCAGAGGAGGCUCAGGAAGGGGGCGAGGCAGAGGUCCUCCCGCCCGAAGAUCACAAUACAGAGUUUCAGUCACAGGCUUGCCCCCCACUGGGAGCUGGCAGGACCUCAAGGACCACAUGAGGGAAGCAGGAGAUGUCUGUUAUGCUGAUGUGUACAAAGAUGGCACAGGUGUGGUAGAGUUCCUUCGCUAUGAAGAUAUGAAAUAUGCUGUCAAGAAACUUGAUGAUUCAAAGUUCCGCUCACAUGAGGGUGAAAAUUCAUACAUUCGUGUGAAAGAAGAUUAUGGAGGUUCUAGUCCAGCAUCUGGUGGUGGUGGUGGUGGUGGACGUGGUCGCUCAAGAUCCAGGUCACGAUCCCCACGUGGCUACCGGGGGUCGCCCACCUACUCUCCUGUUCGCCGAUCUUAUUCUAGGUCACCCUCACGAUCUAGGUCACCAUCACGCUCCCGAGAUCGCUACUAGAACCGAAGACAGGAGUGAUGAGCCAGGCCCAGCGGUUGGGCUGAGAUGACAGCUUGGGCCCAAACCUGGCGAAGUUACCUAGAAUUUAUGAAGGGUGCCAAGUUGUUGGAUGUUGCAUCCAGUUAGAGCACAUCCUUUAUGGGAGGAAAUUGAAAACGGUUAAAACUCCACACUGACCUCUGGUGCCCCACGCUGACCUGACGGUGUCCCCGGACCCAUGCAGCUCUUAGCACUGGACUGGAGGACGUCAGUCCCGUAGCUAGUAGGCUGCUGCAAUAUGGCCAUCCUUCCUGCCAAAUUUCGUAGAUUUUGGAAAGCUAGGAUUUGAGAAGUGGAGGAGGAGCAUUGACUAUGGCAUGGACGAGAGGCUCUCUAUCUGGAUCACAGGAUCAGGAGGAUACAUGCUGCAGCAAGCUUGCAAGGGGAGGAUCACACUAAUGGAUAACUUGGAUCACAAUGGAUGAGAUCUCUUAUGGGUCUCAGUUGGCCUAUCCAUGGAGAAAAAGGAUUAUGCGGGGACAGGUUCUGCGCUUGGACGAACUCACUGGAGGAUCAUGGAUCACUUGAGGAUAAGGAUUUGGAUCAAUCAAGGGAUUCACCAAGUAGCAGAGGACUGGAUUUGUGAGUUAAGGAUUCACUUUCCCUCCCCUCAUUGCUUGAAUUUGUUACUUGAAUUCCCAUCAAAGUCCUCUUUAGUACAAAGCAAAAUUAGUAGACCAUUUCUGAUAUCCAGGUGGAAACCUCUUUAUUUUAUCACAGAUAGGGGUGAUUUACGGAGUGAUAGAUUAUUAGGGGAUGCCAGCUUUUAUUGAUCAAAGGGAGAGAUGUCUUUUUCCUAUGUUGCCAAAUUAUUGCGGAACAUGUCAUAUCGUAAGGGGAAGUUGGGAAGAGAACCAGUGCAAAGUUAUUAACGAGUUUCUCUUUUCCAGCAGCAAUACAAGGAGAUCAGUUAUUCAACAGUGAUUCAUCAAUAAAAUAUUAAUGUUA
rnacentral:misc_RNA from 1 species